AUGAGCGCCAGCGCCACCACCUUGCGCGACGCCGCGGCCAUCCUCGGCGCCCUGUCCGCCGCCUCCGCGGCCCAGCUCCACGCGCCCGCCCUAAAGCUCGGGUUUCUCCCCUCCUGUCUCCACCUCUGCUCGUCCUUCCUCAAGUCCUACGCUGCGUCCGGCCGCCUGGCCUUCGCGCGCCAGCUGUUCGACGAAACCCCCCGCCGGGACAUCCCUCUAUGGAACACCCUCGUCUCCGCCUGCGCGCGCUCCCGUCAACCCCACCACGCCCUUCUCGCUGUGUCCGCCAUGGUGGGCGAGGGCUCCCGGCCCAACAACCUCUCGGUCACGAGCCUCUUGUCCGCGUGCGCGCAGCUGAGGAGUCUGGUGCACGGGAGAGAGCUCCACGGGUAUGCCGUGAGGAAUAUCCCUGUUCUUGAUUUGCGCGUUCUCAAUGCGCUGGUAAGCAUGUACGGGAGAUGCGGGCGGUUCGCUGAAGCGAGCACGGUGUUCGCCGGUAUGGAGAAUAAGAGCGUGGUUUCUUGGACCUGCAUGAUCAAUGCUUGCUGCGAGAAUGGACGCCCAGCAGAGGCGCUGGGGGUGUUCAACGAGAUGAGGCUUGCCGUUGUCAAGAUCGAUGAGGUCACCCUGCUCGCAGUCAUCUCAGCGUGCACAAAAUUGGAUUGUACGUCGGAGUUGGGGGAGUGGGUGGAGGUAUAUGCAAGCGAGAAUGGCUUCUUGGAGAACACCCGUGUCGCGAAUUCACUCAUCCAUAUGCAUGGUAAGAUGGGGAGGGUGAAGAAGUCAUGUCAGAUAUUUGACUCGAUGAGUGUGAGGACUGUGGUCUCAUGGACAGCCAUGAUACAGGCACUUGCUGUGCAUGGGCAUGGGGUGGCUGCCCUUGUUAGGUUUUCGCAGAUGCUCAGACAAGGGUUCUGGCCUGACGAGGUUAUCUUCUUAAGCGUGAUCAAUGCUUGUUGCCACUCCAGGCUAGUGAGUGAAGGGCGCCAGUUGUUCAAGUCUAUGGUCGAAGACUAUCACAUCACACCAUGGAUGGAGCACUAUGGAAGCAUGGUGGACCUGUUGUGCAGAUCUGGCAUGUUGGACGAGGCAUUUGAGUUUGUCCUGGCCAUGCCUGUGAAGCCUGAUCCCGUAAUAUGGCGUGUAUUGACCGGAGCAUGCCGUGAUCAUGGAAAUAUGAAUUUAGCGAGGAAGGUGAUGGAUCAUGUGAUCGACAUGGAGCCUGACCAUGAGGGGAAUUAUGUGCUUGCGUCAAAUUUAUAUGCUGCCAAUGAGAACUGGGGACGUGUUGUGGAUGUAAGGGUGGAGAUGGGUGUGAGGAAAGAGACGUCAAGAUGCAGUACUGCCCUGUCUUACAUUGAAGUCAAUGGUGAAGAAAAUGCAGAAUUCUUCUCUACUGCACAGCACCAGUAA
rnacentral:rRNA from 1 species